GCCAGAAGGGGAGGAAACUGGAAUCCAGCAGCGGCGAGCAGCAGCUGGACGGUAACAUCUGGAAAUGGAAAGCCGACCUCCCCCUCCUCCUCCACCUCCUCCUCCUCCUCCUCCUUCUCCUCCUCUCACCCAGGAUCACUUCCGAAACCACUUGGCCUUCAGCCCCUGCCUCGGCCAGAGGUUUCAUUUUUAACUGAAUAUUUACCAAAGCUGAAAGCGUGCGAGGGGGGUGGGGUGGAAAUAGCGGCUGCUUCUUUUCCAAGGAUUUAUUUAAUGGGGAUGUGUUCAAGGCAAGACCGAAUUCAGAAGGAUAUCGACGUCGUGAUCCAGAAGUCCAGAGCUGAGGACUGCCUGUUUGCAGAUUUCAGAUACUCAGACUCCACCUUUACUUUUACCUAUGUUGGCGGCCCCAGAAGGUAUUUAUGGGUGUAGAGUUGCUUCAUUUCCUGUUCACACUCUUGUGUUUCCUUUGUUCUUAGCGUGUUCCGUGUUCGGGUAUUUUGGUUGCUUGUUUGAUUACUGUGGCUUUUCUUUACCUACAACCCAAGCCUGACGUCCCUCGGUUUUAAAUAGCAGGGGGAGGGGAAUCAAUGUUUGAUUCAGGUGUUUCGAAGACCACGCCACAGGCGAUGAGCAGAACUCUUCAUGUUGAAACGGUUCUGCUACAGUACUAGAUUGCUCUCAGGCGAUUUGGGGUUGAUACAGGCAAGCCGGUGCAAAACUGGAAUACUGGAUAUGAAGUGAAAUGUAUAAAAGACAUAAAAUGUCACAAAAUAGUUUGAUCACAAGUGUUGAUUUUCCUGGUGAGUUGGGGCUGCGUGUUUCCAUGUUUUCUGAAGGUUCACAUAAACAUGCAGCCUGCCAAUUCUCUGUACAUUUUUUUUUUUCAAUGAGUGGUAUUUCGGUUUUCACGUUUAGUUGUAAGACAGAAAUUGGAGACUUAUAUGUAGCUGGAGUGGAUGACUUCUUUCUUUUGGGGGAAGAAUGAGAGAUGCACAUUUCGUUAGUAAAUUGUGAACAACUUGAAACAAACCCAAAUCCAAUUUUGAAUUUAAGAAGUAGAGUUAAAAUGAAAGGUAGCCAUUCAAAUACUAUGCCUUGCUGCCUUCACUUAUUAAGUUAGGAUUUUCUUCCUUUUAGCCCUUUAGGGAUACAGUAGUUUAAAAGAGCAGUAGCCACAUAUGAAAGGAUCAGAUUUAGCUUAGAGGGAAUUCCUUAGACCAGCCCUGCUGUUAAGACUUGACAUUCAAUAUUGUUUGAUCACAUUCCAAAAUAUAGCUUAGCUAAUGGCAACAUUUGUAAACAUAUAAAUUGCAAAAGAAGCUUUCUUGUGUACAUACAUUUUUAAAAGCUUGAAAUUGAUGUGAACUUUUAAAAACACGUAGGAUCUGUAUUACAUUCUACAUCUCAAAACAAA
rnacentral:lncRNA from 1 species